AGUGAACGCUGGCGGUAGGCCUAACACAUGCAAGUCGAACGGCAGCACAGUAAGAGCUUGCUCUUACGGGUGGCGAGUGGCGGACGGGUGAGGAAUACAUCGGAAUCUACUUUUUCGUGGGGGAUAACGUAGGGAAACUUACGCUAAUACCGCAUACGACCUACGGGUUAAAGCAGGGGAUCUUCGGACCUUGCGCGAUUGAAUGAGCCGAUGUCGGAUUAGCUAGUUGGCGGGGUAAAGGCCCACCAAGGCGACGAUCCGUAGCUGGUCUGAGAGGAUGAUCAGCCACACUGGAACUGAGACACGGUCCAGACCCCUACGGGAGGCAGCAGUGGGGAAUAUUGGACAAUGGGCGCAAGCCUGAUCCAGCCAUACCGCGUGGGUGAAGAAGGCCUUCGGGUUGUAAAGCCCUUUUGUUGGGAAAGAAAAGCAGCAGGUUAAUACCCCGCUGUUCUGACGGUACCCAAAGAAUAAGCACCGGCUAACUUCGUG
rnacentral:rRNA from 1 species